rnacentral:rRNA from 1 species
CUACCCUUGACAUGUCAGGAAUCCUGCAGAGAUGUGGGAGUGCCCGAAAGGGAGCCUGAGCACAGGUGCUGCAUGGCUGUCGUCAGCUCGUGUCGUGAGAUGUUGGGUUAAGUCCCGCAACGAGCGCAACCCUUGUCAUUAGUUGCUACGAAAGGGCACUCUAAUGAGACUGCCGGUGACAAACCGGAGGAAGGUGGGGAUGACGUCAAGUCCUCAUGGCCCUUAUGGGUAGGGCUUCACACGUCAUACAAUGGUACAUACAGAGGGCUGCCAACCCGCGAGGGGGGGCUAAUCCCAGAAAGUGUAUCGUAGUCCGGAUUGGAGUCUGCAACUCGACUCCAUGAAGUUGGAAUCGCUAGUAAUCGCGGAUCAGCAUGUCGCGGUGAAUACGUUCCCGGGUCUUGUACACACCGCCCGUCACACCAUGGGAGCGGGUUUUACCAGAAGUAGUUAGCCUAACCGCAAGGAGGGCGAUUACCACGGUAGGAUUCGUGACUGGGGUG